rnacentral:rRNA from 1 species
GACGAACGCUGGCGGCGUGCUUAACACAUGCAAGUCGAACGAUGAAGCCCANGCUUGCUGGGUGGAUUAGUGGCGAACGGGUGAGUAACACGUGAGUAACCUGCCCUUGACUCUGGGAUAAGCGUUGGAAACGACGUCUAAUACCGGAUACGAGCUUCCACCGCAUGGUGAGUUGCUGGAAAGAAUUUUGGUCAAGGAUGGACUCGCGGCCUAUCAGCUUGUUGGUGAGGUAACGGCUCACCAAGGCGACGACGGGUAGCCGGCCUGAGAGGGUGACCGGCCACACUGGGACUGAGACACGGCCCAGACUCCUACAGGAGGCAGCAGUGGGGAAUGUUGCACAAUGGGCGAAAGCCUGAUGCAGCAACGCCGCGUGAGGGACGACGGCCUUCGGGUUGUAAACCUCUUUUAGCAGGGAAGAAGCGAAAGUGACGGUACCUGCAGAAAAAGCACCGGCUAACUACGUGCCAGCAGCCGCGGUAAUACGUAGGGUGCAAGCGUUGUCCGGAAUUAUUGGGCGUAAAGAGCUCGUAGGCGGUUUGUCGCGUCUGCUGUGAAAUCCCGAGGCUCAACCUCGGGUCUGCAGUGGGUACGGGCAGACUAGAGUGCGGUAGGGGAGAUUGGAAUUCCUGGUGUAGCGGUGGAAUGCGCAGAUAUCAGGAGGAACACCGAUGGCGAAGGCAGAUCUCUGGGCCGCUACUGACGCUGAGGAGCGAAAGGGUGGGGAGCAAACAGGCUUAGAUACCCUGGUAGUCCACCCCGUAAACGUUGGGCGCUAGAUGUGGGGACCAUUCCACGGUUUCCGUGUCGUAGCUAACGCAUUAAGCGCCCCGCCUGGGGAGUACGGCCGCAAGGCUAAAACUCAAAGGAAUUGACGGGGGCCCGCACAAGCGGCGGAGCAUGCGGAUUAAUUCGAUGCAACGCGAAGAACCUUACCAAGGCUUGACAUAUACGAGAACGGGCCAGAAAUGGUCAACUCUUUGGACACUCGUAAACAGGUGGUGCAUGGUUGUCGUCAGCUCGUGUCGUGAGAUGUUGGGUUAAGUCCCGCAACGAGCGCAACCCUCGUUCUAUGUUGCCAGCACGUCAUGGUGGGAACUCAUGGGAUACUGCCGGGGUCAACUCGGAGGAAGGUGGGGACGACGCCAAAUCAUCAUGCCCCUUAUGUCUUGGGCUUCACGCAUGCUACAAUGGCCAGUACAAAGGGCUGCAAUACCGUAAGGUGGAGCGAAUCCCAAAAAGCUGGUCCCAGUUCGGAUUGAGGUCUGCAACUCGACCUCAUGAAGUCGGAGUCGCUAGUAAUCGCAGAUCAGCAACGCUGCGGUGAAUACGUUCCCGGGCCU